rnacentral:misc_RNA from 1 species
GGAUCCUUGCUUGAGCAACGACGUCCUCCCAUUCAUGCCUUUUCAUUGUUGGUCCAAGUGCAACCUUUGCCUUGGCCGUCUAUUGGGUUUCCUGUGUUGCAUACCUAGUGCGAUGGUACUCGUUUGUAACAAUCGUCCCUCGUUCGUCCAGUGAAGCCCGUUUGACGUGUGCGUCACCCGAUGAACAACGAAGUGCUCCUCGCGGUCCACAACGCUCGCGUUAAUUCGUGCGGCGUCUGUGGCCCGUGUCGAGUUGCUUGUGCUCACGGAUGCAGAAACCGUUGAGGGUACGGGGCAAUGUUCCCUAUCUACCCAAAACGAAGCGUUCACCGCUAACUAGCGUACGACUGUCGUGGCCGUCUUUGGUUGGCCGACUCUUUGGGUCGUGCCUUCUCGAGCGGCACCGACGUCAAUGAGGA